UGGGGAAUAUUGGACAAUGGGCGCAAGCCUGAUCCAGCCAUGCCGCGUGAGUGAUGAAGGCCCUGGGGUUGUAAAGCUCUUUCACCGGUGAAGAUAAUGACGGUAACCGGAGAAGAAGCCCCGGCUAACUUCGUGCCAGCAGCCGCGGUAAUACGAAGGGGGCUAGCGUUGUUCGGAUUUACUGGGCGUAAAGCGCACGUAGGCGGACUUUUAAGUCAGGGGUGAAAUCCCGGGGCUCAACCCCGGAACUGCCUUUGAUACUGGAAGUCUUGAGUAUGGUAGAGGUGAGUGGAAUUCCGAGUGUAGAGGUGAAAUUCGUAGAUAUUCGGAGGAACACCAGUGGCGAAGGCGGCUCACUGGACCAUUACUGACGCUGAGGUGCGAAAGCGUGGGGAGCAAACAGG
rnacentral:rRNA from 1 species